AGGAAGAUAAAGCCACUUGAACAUCCAUAAGUGCAAGAAUCAACAGUAAAAUAUAGUAUCUAUGCCAACUUAAAAAAGGUAGCUUCAAAAUGUGAAAGGAGAGAUGAGGAGGAGGUGAUAUAUUUUCUCUUUAUAUAUUUUCUUUUUCUCUCAUUAUAUAAAUCAUAUCUUGUUUUUAUAGAAAAGCAUCAAAUACAAACCCAUUUAAAACAAAAUGAUGAAUAGUAAAUACUAAAAUAAUUGUCUGACCCUCUUAAGUAAAGGAGAACUUCCUUUGACAGUCUCUAGUUUUUAUUUUUAUUAUCUCUGGAGUCAGAGGUGCCUUCUAGACAGAGCUAGGGGCUCAUGGCUAUGUGAACAGAGCUAUAAGAAGAAUGUCCCCUGAUACUGGACGGAGGAGAGGCAGUCAGCUCAGCUUGCUGUGUGUGCCUCUGUUGGCUUUAGACAGGUGUGUGGAAAUGGCUUCAGAUGCCCUAGAAAGGCUCGAUUUGGGAAGGACCUGGGAGUCCCUGAGAAGGAGGGUAGCUGGGGGUCAGUGGCUUUCACAAGCGCUACGAGAUACCACAUACCUGGCAGCCCUCGGUGAAGAUGUUCGGAGAUCGUUCUUAGUUCUUAUGUGGCUGGAGUUUUGCUCCUGUCUUUGGGUGGCUCCUUGCCUCUUCCUCUCUUUCUUCCUCUCCCUGUAUCCCCUCUUCCCACCGGCUCCAACAUAAUUCCUUUUGCUGCUCUGUUUUACCCUGUAGUCAAGGGUGUCCACUGUGAGGGAAGGAGACUGCAAUUUCCACUUAGGUUCCUGACAUAGGAUUGCCAACCCAACCCUGCAGAUAAUGGCUGAAGUUCUGAAUAGAUAUCUGAGAAUCAUCACCCAUGCUUCUGUGCAGGGCUCUUCUGCUCUCUGAAGUCAAAGGAUGGAGACCUCAAGAGAAUCACUCAACUUUUCAUGUAGACCCUUGAAAGUAAGUCCAACAAGUAGAAGUUGGACAUUUUAUUCCCUGGUUUUCAUAGCAAGUCAGCAGGCUUGAGGACCCACACAAGUGCUACCAGAGAAGCAGAAAGAACCCUUGGGAGAUGGCACAGUGUGCCACCAGGCAGAGAUAAAGACUUCCCUGUAGAGUUCCCAAUAGCAUGGAAGACAGAUUUUGAACCUGUCAUGGACCCCAGAUUUAGGAUUCGGAAAGGUAAGUGGGAUUCGUGGCCAUAGACUUGCCAGAGACCAAAGCCGUUUGGAACAUCAGAACAAGUGGGUGAGUUUAUUGGUUGGAGGGCAAGUAAAAGAGGUGCUUAUGCCUAAGGGAGUGUCUCUAAAUUGGCCCCUUUAUCAGCAAGGCUGUUGGAACGACCACUUGACCAUCUUGAGUUCCUGGAAAAUGAGCCAAGUCAGCAGUUAUGAACAACCAGGGAGAAGUCUGGAAAAGUUUGAAAGCUCGCUGUGAGCAGCCACAUAAGAAGACUGAAGAAUGCCAACAGUUGCACCCAGCCUGGUGUAUCCAAAGUACUCUCUUUGGCAUGCUAGCUACCCUGUGAUACUUGCCAGCACCACGGUCUGGUGGUCUGCCUGGAUAAGUGUCCACUGCAACCAGCCUUGGCAAUCUCUCCAGCAGGGCCAUGAAAUUCUUCAUGCUCUGGGAGUUUUGUUUUCCUGAACCCUUUGACACAGAGCUUUCAUUGAGAAGGGGAAAUGAAGAGAGAAGUGGUGGUUCCAAGUACCAUGAAUAGCCCCGCCCUAAGGGGAGCAGUUUGUGAGCAUGAAAAGCACCCUGGGUGAGUUAAGGAGUCUGGGGUGAGUAAAGGAGCUGCCAUUUAGCUGACAAGAAGCUUACUGUAAACCAUGGAGGUAAGAAUUUCAAGGGAGGGGAAAUGAGUUGACAGAAAAAGUCCUUUCCAAAUGAAUGCAUCCUAUUUCCUAGUUCAACUCGUCUCCAGUGCGAUCCUGGACCAGCGGCCCUGCCCAGCCCAAGCAUUUUCACUCUGUCCAUCGCUGGAACAAGAAUUGAAAAAUCACCUGGGGGAGAAAGAUUAUUAGGAAUAAUGAGAACGCAUCUGACCAAAUUUGGCCCAAAUUUCGUGAUUUCUUGGUUUCAAGUAGAAUUCAAACCUUUCAGGGCUCAACUUUUUUUCUUUUGGCAAACCACAAUGUCUUAUUUCUAAGCAAGGAGCUUUAAGGAAGACUUGUUGGCCAUCAAAAAUAGCCGUUAGAAAACAAUAUUUUGAUGAGUUAAGUGUAAAUGAAUCAGAAACAUGUGGAUUAGAUUUACCUCAAAGUCCAUGUGGGUUUGAAGGGCAAGGAGGAAAAGGCUUAGGCAGAGUCACACUUGGGAUUUUGCUGAUCCUUGCAGGAGAGAAAAGUAAGCUUGAGGGGUCAUCAACUGCCAGCACCAGGAGGAUGUGGUAGGUCCCUUGGCAGUGUUAUUAUUAUUAUUGAUUGCAUAUAUGGGUAUAGAUAUUUUAUAGUGUUCCUUCUAAGAACAUUAUGCUCAUUGCUCAGACCAUCUCUAUGAAAUGAACUGCCCGGUGUAAUGAAGGCUCAGUGGCAAGACUGGGCCUUGGACAUAGAACCUGUAACUGCUUUAUCACUGAAUGAUGAUUUGUCUCUCCAAACACAGAACAGAAUGUGAAAAAGUCCUUACAGUGCUUAAAAAGGGAUUUGUUUUAGAUAUUAUGGGAGGCUUUCCAAUGUCAAAACUACCUACCUUCUAUCUGACUUCCCAAAGUAGUGUGGAAAUAAAGGGAAUCUUCAAGGGAGAAGCAUUAGAUUGAUGGAAAGCUUAAGUACUGUACUAGUGGUUAUUCUAAAGGGUUUUUAAUAUCCCUCCAUUCUCCCUCCUCUAUUCACCACCAAAUUUCAAACCUUCUUGCAUAUGGGCUUUUAUUUCUUUCUGUCUUUAAUGGAGAAAGUGUUCUUUGCUCAAUCAAAGACCAAUCCCUCUGCUUGUGCCCUAGACCUGGAUGUCCAAUAUGGUCAUCGCCACAAGUGGCUACCGGGUC